CGAACUGGACAUACCCCACUCUGAAGCUCCUCUCUAGUGUCUCCAUCUCCUCAUCCUCAAGCCGCGUGGACCGUCCCCUCCUCAUCGGCACAGCAUCCCGGCCGCCGGGGCCGAGGGCCGCCCCCUCCCUUACGUCCCCACCGCCGGCGACAGGACCUCCUCCUCCCAUGCAUCCCACCGCUGCAGCGGUUUCCGCCCCUUCCCUUCCUCCUCACCGCUGCCGCGCGCGACGACCAGCCCCCUCCCCUGUCUCCCUGCUGUUGCCGCCCUUUCCUCGCUCCGGCGGCAUCCCCUGCUCUCUGCUUCGCCCUCGUUGUGGAUUGCGGUCAUAAAAGAGCCCGAGGAGGCAGUGCACAUCCUGUGGAGAGCAGGCGGCGCUUAAUCUUGGCAUGCUCGCCAGGGCGCCGACGAAGGUCAUCCACAUCGUCGUACUCGUGUUGCUGCUUGAAGAGGAAGCAUGAGCAAAGAAAAGCCCGAGAGAGACCAUAUAUAAUUACCAGAAAGCCACCACAUAUAUCCAAGAUGAGAUUUAUUCAGAGAUGAAGUCCAUGGCACAUAUUGACACAAAUUUAAGCACUACAUCGAAUGAGUACAGAGAACUCUUGGCUACAUCAGCAGAACUGUAGCAAAAUGCAGGCCCCUCAUAUGGAAACCGUAAUGCCCCGCAAUGUAUGCAGUCUGGUACUUUUCGUAACACAUGAUGCUUUGUAGGUUCAGAACUGUAUCAAGUUGGGGUGUUUCAAAACCGGACAUUUGUGUGAUGGGAUCUGCAUUGUGUUGCAACCAUAUUUCUGACCAGGAGGCAUCGCGACAGGUCGCAUCCUUCCUGCAAUUUGUUGCAUCUGGUAUGAAUUAUUCCUGUGCAACCAACCUGACUCAUCUUCGUCUGUUGCAUUAUUCUCCUUUUCGUGUCGGAUGCCUAUCAGUGAAUGUGAACAAUUUGGUACAUUUGACAAUCCUGCAAGAAAAUUGCAUAGCAUAUAGUAAUUAACAUCUUGGAAGCUUAACAACUUGGAAGCUAACAAUGUGCAGUCAAGAAUGUGUGGUACUACAGAACCUGAACAUGAGUUGUUAUGUAGCUGGGUGACAGCUGACUGUCCUGUAGGUACUGUGUCACCUCCGUUGAGGAGGGCAGAUGCAAUUUUCUUCUGCUCACGUGAUUGGCGUUGUCGUUUUAAUAUUUCCUCUCUAUUUUGUGCAUAAUAUAACCUUUGCCUUUGCCUCUUUAUCUCUUUAGGAUCUGCAUAGAUGCAAAAAAGCUCAUUAGUAAUAAAAAAGUAGGUGGGUAUGCAGUUGUUGUUUGUCAUUACCAAGAGAUACUGGUGUUUGUGUCUCAUUUUCUUGGACAUCGAUAUCGUCAGGAGUAGAAGCCACAUUUUUCUGACUGUAAGCUUCACGUUGCCUCUUUAAUAUCCCAUCCCUAUUUUGUGAAUACCGUUCCCUCUCCCGUUGCCUCUUUUGUUCAAUAGGGUGUACAUUGCUUUGGGAGAUGGACAGAGGUGUAUGUGGUGUAUUUUGCUCGUCAGUAAUGAGGGCUGUUGAAGCCUUUUUCUUUUCACUGGCUUCACGCCGUCUUUUCUGAAUAUCAUCUUUAUAUCGUGCAUAAUAUUCUCUGUCCCUCUGUCUUUUCAACUCUUUAGGAUCUGUGUACAUACAUACCAUUAUUUAGCAACACAUGAAGGAUAGAACUGACAGAACACUGAUUGCCGAUACUUACCCAAGGACCUGUUGUUGCUUAUAUCCUGAAGAGGGGUGCGUUCCACAUCACGAUUCGGAGAUGACAUCCCAAAAGCUUACCCAAGGAGUAGUACAGCAACAAUACUGUUCAUAU